rnacentral:rRNA from 1 species
UAGCAUAUCAAUAAGCGGAGGAAAAGAAACCAACAGGGAUUGCCUCAGUAACGGCGAGUGAAGCGGCAACAGCUCAAAUUUGAAAUCUGGCCCCGUCGGGGUCCGAGUUGUAAUUUGUAGAGAGUGUUUCGGGUGAGACCACAGUCUAAGUCCAUUGGAACAUGGCGUCAUAGAGGGUGAGAAUCCCGUAUGUGACCGUGGCUCAAACCCAUGUGAAGCCUCUUCGACGAGUCGAGUUGUUUGGGAAUGCAGCUCAAAAUGGGUGGUAAAUUUCAUCUAAAGCUAAAUACUGGCUGGAGACCGAUAGCGCACAAGUAGAGUGAUCGAAAGAUGAAAAGCACUUUGGAAAGAGAGUCAAAAAGUACGUGAAAUUGUUGAAAGGGAAGCGCUUGCAACCAGACCUGUCCGUAGGUGAUCAGCCGCUGUUCUCAGCGGUGCACUCGCUCUGCGAUCAGGCCAGCAUCGGUUUCGGCGGUCGGAUAAAGGCCUGGGGAAUGUAGCUUCCUUCGGGAAGUCUUAUAGCCCUCGGUGCAAUGCGGCCAGCCGGGACCGAGGACCGCGCUUCGGCUAGGAUGCUGGCGUAAUGGUUGUAAGCGACCCGUCUUGAAACACGGACCAAGGAGUCUAACAUCUAUGCGAGUGUUUGGGUGUUAAACCCAUGCGCGGAAUGAAAGUGAACGGAGGUGAGAACCCUUUAGGGCGCAUCAUCGACCGAUCCAGAUGUCUUCGGAUGGAUUUGAGUAUGAGCAUAGCUGUUGGGACCCGAAAGAUGGUGAACUAUGCCUGAAUAGGGUGAAGCCAGAGGAAACUCUGGUGGAGGCUCGCAGCGGUUCUGACGUGCAAAUCGAUCGUCAAAUUUGGGUAUAGG